rnacentral:rRNA from 1 species
GACGAACGCUGGCGGCGUGCUUAACACAUGCAAGUCGAACGGAAAGGCCCUGCUUUUGUGGGGUGCUCGAGUGGCGAACGGGCGAGUAACACGUGAGUAACCUGCCCUUGACUUUGGGAUAACUUCAGGAAACUGGGGCUAAUACCGGAUAGGAGCUCCUGCUGCAUGGUGGGGGUUGGAAAGUUUCGGCGGUUGGGGAUGGACUCGCGGCUUAUCAGCUUGUUGGUGGGGUAGUGGCUUACCAAGGCUUUGACGGGUAGCCGGCCUGAGAGGGUGACCGGCCAAAUUGGGACUGGGAUACGGCCCAGAAUCCUACGGGAGGCAGCAGGGGGGAAUAUUGCACAAUGGGCGGAAGCCUGAUGCAGCAACGCCGCGUGCGGGAUGACGGCCUUCGGGGUGUAAACCGCUUUCGCCUGUGACGAAGCGUGAGUGACGGUAAUGGGUAAAGAAGCACCGGCUAACUACGUG